rnacentral:rRNA from 1 species
GGAAGUAAAAGUCGUAACAAGGUCUCCGUUGGUGAACCAGCGGAGGG